GCCGCGGUGUGUUUAUCCAUCCUCUAACCCUGGACAGUGGUGUAACAGCAAGUACCACAUAAACCAAAAUUGAAAAAGACCGUCACUAUAACUUGCUAUUGGGUAUUUGGUGUGCUCAUUGUUGAAGGCCGUGCAAUGACUAAUUAUUGCUAUAACAUACAUGUCAUUUGGUGUCUGGUGGUUAUCAGUAUAGUCGUCUCAUUGGCAAUAAA
rnacentral:lncRNA from 1 species